CACCUUACUACCAUUUCUCAUCUAAAUAACGUGAACAACAACCACAUUUCUCUUCUACUUCCUACCAUGGCCGAAUGCAUCACAACACCAUACCAUUUCAAUUUUGGUCAUGGUUAAACAAAGAACUUAAUGUCUCACUCAAAAAUGCUAAAAAGAAGAUUCAAGAGUCAUCAAUCCACCAUCACAUGCAUCAUUACAAAGCUUCACUUUUAGCUUGGAAAUGACAUCAACACCAAUCCACCUUAGCUGAAUAUCAUCUCCAUGACAUAGCAAAGAUUUGAACCAUGGGCUAGUUAGAACUCAAGCUAACAACUAAAAACAUGCAUGAGUCUCAUGGCACAACAUCAAACAUACCUUAUCCUAGACACAAGUAUGGCCGAACCUCCUCCUAAUCCUCUUCCAAGCCAAACAUGAAGCAAGAGCUCCUUCCUUCUUCCUUAGAACUUUCGGCCAAAAGAAAUGAAAAAGGAUGGACGCUUUUUUUUCUUUGUUUUCAUCAUAUUCCCUUUCAUUAUUUUAUUACC
rnacentral:lncRNA from 1 species